rnacentral:rRNA from 1 species
UGGGCGAAAGCCUGAUCCAGCAAUGCCGCGUGCAGGAUGAAGGCCUUCGGGUUGUAAACUGCUUUUGUACGGAACGAAAAGCUUCGGGUUAAUACCCUGGAGCCAUGACGGUACCGUAAGAAUAAGCACCGGCUAACUACGUGCCAGCAGCCGCGGUAAUACGUAGGGUGCAAGCGUUAAUCGGAAUUACUGGGCGUAAAGCGUGCGCAGGCGGUUUUGUAAGACAGAGGUGAAAUCCCCGGGCUCAACCUGGGAACUGCCUUUGUGACUGCAAGGCUAGAGUACGGCAGAGGGGGAUGGAAUUCCGCGUGUAGCAGUGAAAUGCGUAGAUAUGCGGAGGAACACCGAUGGCGAAGGCAAUCCCCUGGGCCUGUACUGACGCUCAUGCACGAAAGCGUGGGGAGCUAACAGGAUUAGAUACCCUGGUAGUCCACGCCCUAAACGAUGUCAACUGGUUGUUGGGUCUUAACUGACUCAGUAACGAAGCUAACGCGUGAAGUUGACCGCCUGGGGAGUACG